UCAGAACAACGGAUCAUGUACUGAUGAGAUUAAUCGGUUCCGGUGCUCAUGUGUUCCGGGUUUUACCGGCUCUAUCUGUGAAAUAGAUAUCAAUGAGUGUGCCAGUAACCCGUGUUUGAAUUCGGGUACCUGUAACGAUCUUAUUAACCACUUCACCUGUUCUUGUCGAGCGGGGUAUACAGGGAAAAUAUGUGACAUAGAUAUAAAUGAAUGUGCACCAGAUCCCUGCUUAGUCAUUUUUGACUGUGAAUAUCGUGUGAACGAAUAUUACUGCAGAAUAAACAAAUGGAAGCUUGCCAUCAUCAUUUGUAGUAUUCUUUUUGUAAAUCUGACGGUUAUUUCUAUUGUCAUUUACCUAUCCAAAAGACGAAAGUACAGAGAUGUCGACCAUGCAUGGUUGUCCAGUUUCAUUGACGUUCGUAAACCAGAUAUCCAGCCUAAGGUUUUAUUCAGAAGUGACAUUCCAUUUAAAAGAUUCUAAAUAAGAAAGUAACCCCAUAAUUAGAACACGAAGAGAGUCGA